GACGAACGCUGGCGGCGUGCUUAACACAUGCAAGUCGAACGGAAAGACCCUGCUUUUGUGCGUUGCUCGAUUGGCGAACGGGUGAGUAACACGUGAGUAACCUGCCCUUGACUUUGUGAUAACUUCAGGAAACUGGGGCUAAUACCCGAUAUGAGCUCCUGCUCCAUGUUGUGGGUUGGAAAGUUUCGGCGUUUGGGGAUCGACUCGCUGCUUAUCCGCUUGUUGGUGUGGUAGUGGGUUACCAAGGCUUUGACGGGUAGCCGGCCUGAGAGGGUGACCGGCGACAUGGGGACUGAGAUAGGGACCAGACGCCUACGGGAGGCAGCAGUGGGGAAUAUUGCAGAGUGGGGCGACGCGUGAUGCAGCGACGCUGCGUGCGGGAUGCUGGCCUUCGGGUGGUAAACCGAUGUGGCCUGUGACGAAGCGUUAGUGACGGUAAUGGGUCAAAAAGCACCGGCUAACUACGUG
rnacentral:rRNA from 1 species